rnacentral:rRNA from 1 species
GGACGGGUUAGUAACGCGUGGGAACGUGCCCUUCACUACGGAAUAGUCCCGGGAAACUGGGUUUAAUACCGUAUACGCCCUUCGGGGGAAAGAUUUAUCGGUGAAGGAUCGGCCCGCGUCUGAUUAGAUAGUUGGUGGGGUAACGGCCUACCAAGUCUACGAUCAGUAGCUGGUUUGAGAGGAUGAUCAGCAACACUGGGACUGAGACACGGCCCAGACUCCUACGGGAGGCAGCAGUGGGGAAUCUUAGACAAUGGGCGCAAGCCUGAUCUAGCCAUGCCGCGUGAGUGAUGAAGGCCUUAGGGUCGUAAAGCUCUUUCGCCAGGGAUGAUAAUGACAGUACCUGGUAAAGAAACCCCGGCUAACUCCGUGCCAGCAGCCGCGGUAAUACGGAGGGGGUUAGCGUUGUUCGGAAUUACUGGGCGUAAAGCGCGCGUAGGCGGAUUAGUCAGUCAGAGGUGAAAUCCCAGGGCUCAACCCUGGAACUGCCUUUGAUACUGCUAGUCUUGAGUUCGAGAGAGGUGAGUGGAAUUCCGAGUGUAGAGGUGAAAUUCGUAGAUAUUCGGAGGAACACCAGUGGCGAAGGCGGCUCACUGGCU